GUGCGUGUGUGUGUGUGUGAGGCACGUGGCGGCCGCUCUCAUUUCCGGGAGUGUCCACACCGUCUGGUCCCUGAGGAUGAACGAUGCUUCUUGUUUGUGGGGGGAGGAGGAGUCUUCAAGGUUAAGCUCUUGGGACCUGGGCAGAGGGCAAAAGCACUCAAUCCCCUGGCCGUGUCCCGACUGAGACGGACGUGGGACGGAUGUCUGUGAGAGAUAAGAGAGAAACGGUGGACGAGAGAGAAGAUGCGGCGCUGGCGUGUCUGAGAGAUUGAAUGUUCAGUAUGUUCACAAGCCUAUGAUGAUGAUGGUUUCUUCUGGAUUUUAAAUAAAAAUCGAUCCUGUAUGUUUGCUGAGGUGUUUUUUCUUUGGGGUGAGGGGUGCAGGAGAGGGUCAUCAUGCUAAUCGCUCUGUCUGGCUGUCUGGUCGCCACUGCAGCUCAUCUUUAAAUGACCUUUAUCGCAUCGGCAGCAGAAGGAAGGGCCGGGAUUAUCAGUUGUUCCCACACCAGUUUCUUUUGGUGUGCGAUUAACAAUCGAUUAAUUCUUGAUUU